CGGCUGCCGCCCUGCUGGGCCCGGUGCGGGAGGGAGCGCUCCUCAGCGGGCCCCAGCCCCGCGCUGCGCCGGGCAGGGCGGGCAGGCGCUUGCGAGGGGAGCGGAGCGGAGCUGGCCCCGUGGUGGUGACCCAAGGUAAACAAACGCCCCGCUAGAGCUGGCGCGCAUCUGCGUCCCUGCCCAGCAUCGUUCGCCUGUACUGUGGCUGAGAUUGUGUUAUGAUGGUCAUGGAGAAAAUUGGAGUUUCUGGUACCAAACAGUUAAAACCAAAACCCCCUUAAACUAAGAGGAAGGUUAAGAAUAUGUGCAAACUUGCAGCAGCCUGCACGUGAAACUGGAGCCUUCAUCCACCAAAGCUGCCCCGGCCCUUCCUGUGCUCAGCCAGGAUUGCGCUCGUUCGCGGGUGGGCACGGGACGCUGCGGUAGCUGCGGCGUCGUACCUGAGCGUGUCUCGUUGGAACAGGGACUCGUGCCCUGCUCUCCUGCACGCAGCCAGAUCUCCUGUUUGCUGGGCUACUGGGAGAAACUCUUUCGUUUUAUAAAAAGUAAUGACAUACUUACUGAGCUGGAGAGAGAGAGAGAGACUCUAUAAUUCAUUAGUCAGGGACCUGACCUGCUGCUCAGGAAUAAUGUAUUACUUAAAGCAGCGUUUACUUGCUUAAGGCCAUUUAAGGCACAGACUUUAUGGUACAUCCUUAAGUUACAGUAACUCUGAAUCAAACGUGGACCAGAAGAAGGCUUCGCGUGCUUGCGUGGUGCUCCGGUCCCCCUGCGCAGCAGGACGCCGGGGGCUGAACAGCUGAAGGUGAGAUGCGUGCUAGCAGGUUGCUGCUGAAUGGUAUCCGCUGACAUCUACUGCUGCUGGUGUCGUGCUCAGCGGUGCUCCCUGAGUCUGUCCCAUCAGGGAGGGCAGGGCCCCCAGAUCGGCCGGGUGACCGAGCAGCUUUUCUCUGCUGUCCCUCGUUGUGCAGCAAUUCACAUCCAUUCAGCACGAUGAACCACAAGCUUCCUAGAGCUCAUUUCUAUCCGUGAUGCAAGAUCCUUUUCCGUGUUUCUUUUGGAUUAGUAAUUGUUGGGAGUUGCCAUCUGUCAAGUGGCAAAGAGUAAAGAUUAAACAACCUGGCAAUUCGUUGUUCCUUCUCUCUAGGCAUUUUCCAGGGGACUAGAUGAGGCCGUAAGGAGUCUUUGUAAAGCACGGAGCCUGAUUUAAUGUUAUUUUGUAAAUAUGCAUGUGGAAAUAAAUCCUGUUUGCUAGG